CAGUGUCAGUUAAAUGUCAUCUGAUAUUUACUACCAAGUAGCAACUGCCACUUGAAAUAAUUUUGAAUUUUAAGUUUUGACUUUAUUUUAUAGGUUAAUGUUAUUUUUGUAGAUAAAAGCAUUUCUGAAAUGCAUUAAAGAAGUUAAAUAAUGUAAUGAACUAUGGCUUCAUCUUGCGACAAGUUGCUUCAUCCAGAGUUAAUGACCAAUGAGGAACUUAUAUUAAUUAUUGAAGAGGAUACUGAAGCAUCAGAUUGCACACCGCCAAAAAAGGACAGGAAGCUAAUAAUCUGGCCAUAAGUUUUGUACAUUCAAAUCUGGACUGAUCACUAUAUAUUAUAAGUGUACACAAAUUAGAUUUAAGCUUUAGUUUAAUGACACAUUGUUCUUAUUGUUUCAGUACUUUAUCUUAAGCAGGUGUAUGCACUUAUAGUCUUAACUUAAAAACAAUAUAUAUAUAUAGCCCUGCUCAGCAGACAAUGUUUUUGUUAAUAAGUUUUUGAUGUAUUGCUAAAUAUUGUUAUAGGAAGUAAUGAGUAUAAGCCAUUACAUUGGCUUUGAGCCAAUAUUAGUCCAGACAUACAACUUGUCCAGAUUUAUCUUAGCUUUUAUGUUCAAAUGACACUGGUCAACAUGUUUGGUGGACUUUAUACUCCCUGUUUUUGUUUAUUUGUUUUUUUGCCUGCGAAAAGUUAUCUUUAUUGAUCCCUGUAAAUAUAAAAUUAAUGUGUAUUCUAAAUUUGACAAUGAAAACAGUUUCUCUAGAAAAGGAACCAUACUUAUAAAAAAAUAUAGGUAUUCAAAUAUAUAAACUAUUAAAAAACUUA